rnacentral:rRNA from 1 species
UACGAAGGGGGCUAGCGUUGCUCGGAAUCACUGGGCGUAAAGCGCACGUAGGCGGACUCUUAAGUCGGUGGUGAAAUCCUGGAGCUCAACUCCAGAACUGCCUCCGAUACUGAGAGUCUCGAGUCCGGGAGAGGUGAGUGGAACUGCGAGUGUAGAGGUGAAAUUCGUAGAUAUUCGCAAGAACACCAGUGGCGAAGGCGGCUCACUGGCCCGGUACUGACGCUGAGGUGCGAAAGCGUGGGGAGCAAACAGG